GACGAACGCUGGCGGCGUGCUUAACACAUGCAAGUCGAACGGAAAGGCCCUGCUUUUGUGGGGUGCUCGAGUGGCGAACGGGUGAGUAACACGUGAGUAACCUGCCCUUGACUUUGGGAUAACUUCAGGAAACUGGGGCUAAUACCGGCUAGGAGCUCCUGCUGCAUGGUGGGGGUUGGAAAGUUUCGGCGGUUGGGGAUGGACUCGCGGCUUAUCAGCUUGUUGGUGGGGUAGUGGCUUACCAAGGCUUUGACGGGUAGCCGGCCUGAGAGGGUGACCGGCCACAGUGGGACUGAGAUACGGCCAAGACUCCUACGGGAGGCAGCAGUGGGGAAUAUUGCAAAAUGGGCGGAAGCCUGAUGCAGCAACGCCGCGUGCGGGAUGACGGCCUUCGGGUUGUAAACCGCUUUCGCCUGUGACGAAGCGUGAGUGACGGUAAUGGGUAAAGAAGCACCGGCUAACUACGUG
rnacentral:rRNA from 1 species